GGGCUGGUGAGGNUGCUCUCAAAGUAUAUAAGACAGGAUUCAAAAACUACUUCAGACAAAGCUUGCUGACAAGCGUAAGGACUCGCCUUGAAGUAUUCAACCAUCCUUUCAGAAAGGUGGUUCUCGUGGUUUAGAGGACUUACACUUGUUAGGUGACUAAAGAUGCUUGGAACAAGAACAACAUGCGUGAUCCUCUUUUUCCUCAUAAGCGUACAAAUAGUGGAGCCCAGACGAUACUUUAGAGGAUACCGUAGACAUUUUGAAUGCAGCGUUAGACCGGGUUAUAUCCAGGUUAUACGUAAUGGCUGCCAUAUCAAAAUUUUAAGUAAAGGAUGUCACGGCCAAUGUUUAUCGUCCGUCCAGCCCCUUCUGAGCAAAACUGGAUUUGCUUCAAGCUGCUCAUGUUGUGCGCCUCUCAAGGCAAUCUCAAAAACCUACAGAGCAACAUGUAAAGGAAAACCGAUUGUCCUUCGCUACCCAAUAGCCCUUAGAUGUGCUUGUCGACCUUGCUGAUGGGAUCUUAUUGAUUAUCAACAUAAUAUAUAAUUCUGAUGUUAUCAAAGUCAGAAUCAAGUUACUUUGAGUUCUUUUUUUGGAAUGGGACACUGGUCAGGAACGUUCGUCCAAACAUAAUAAGAUAAGGAUUUAUAAUAGAAAUUUAUUCUUUAUGGCCGCAUUACAACGGAAGACGUCUGUAUUCCUCGACAAACCAAGGUCUCGUGAGCACACACAAGUGAAGACGGUCAAUGGACCCGACAUUUGUAUCCCGCUGACCGAGUGCAAAUCAACUGAACACGAACAACCGAUGCUGUUCUAAUACGGCGGUAAAUUACUACAAAUUAAUAUAGUAUGGAUUAUGAGAUUGACGUAAAGUCAUCCCAUUCGUUACUUUAAUAAAUUAUUGACUUUAAAAAGCUGAGCAAAUUAGAAGCCCCAGUGCAUGUGGUUUCAUGAUGAUAUGAAUGAUUUCAAAUUAAUAUGUACGCUAUACCUUUAGGCUAAUUCAUACUAUUAAAAAAAACUCAUCGACUUAUGGUAAGGGGACACUAAAGUGCGAAGCAUUUCGGAGGUGCGCUGCUCAGUUCAUCACAAAGCCCCAUAUUGCUUUAUGCAGACUUGAAGUUUUUGUUCUUUGAGUUAAUUGAUCAGUAGAUAAACUAAUUAAGACUAAUUUGAGAACUAAUUAAAAUAAGCCAUGCCUAUUGAGACUAAAUAACAUAUAAUAACAAUUAUUAUUAUCAGUUAGUAAGGAGAGAAUGUGAAUAUCUGGACAUAACCUCUGUAAUCAAAAAUCUUCGGAGUAAGAGAGUCUGUGACGUGAAAAAAACCUAAAAAGGUUGGUCUUUUUUUUUCAGUCCUCCUCAGUCAGUCUCAGGUCGAGCUACAGCCAGCCGCUUGGCGUCAUUCUUUCCUUUGAUCCAUUGAGCGAUAUAAUUGUCCUAGUGCACACUAGCUGAUUCAUAUUAAUCAUGAAAUGUAACCGAGGUUUGUCCAUAUAAAAGUGGUUUGUCCAUAUAAAAGUGCAGUGUUGAUAACGAAUUAGCUUGUAAUCUUGCAGGGCAUAAAUGAGUAAAUAUUGUAAAUAAAAACUGUGCAUACACAAAUAUAUUAUGUACAUAAAGUAUAGAUUAAAAUACAAUGCUUUUAUGAAUGUA
rnacentral:lncRNA from 1 species